CCGCACUGCUGCUGGCGUCCAAGAUGUCGACCAAGAAUUUCCGAGUUAGUGACGGGGACUGGAUCUGCCCUGACAAGAAGUGUGGAAAUGUAAACUUCGCCAGAAGAACCAGCUGUAACAGAUGUGGUCGAGAGAAGACAACUGAGGCCAAGAUGAUGAAAGCUGGGGGAACAGAAAUAGGAAAGACACUGGCAGAGAAGAGCCGAGGCUUAUUUAGUUCCAAUGAUUGGCAGUGCAAAACUUGCAGUAAUGUGAAUUGGGCUAGAAGAUCAGAGUGUAACAUGUGUAAUACUCCAAAGUAUGCUAAAUUAGAAGAAAGAACAGGAUAUGGAGGUGGUUUUAAUGAAAGAGAGAAUGUUGAAUACAUAGAAAGAGAAGAAUCGGAUGGGGAAUAUGAUGAGUUUGGACGUAAAAAGAAAAAAUACAGGGGGAAGGCAGUUGGUCCUGCAUCUAUAUUAAAGGAAGUUGAAGAUAAAGAAUCAGAGGGAGAAGAAGAGGAUGAGGAUGAAGAUCUCUCUAAAUAUAAGCUAGAUGAGGACGAGGAUGGAGAUGAUGCUGAUCUCUCAAAAUAUAAUCUUGAUGCCAGUGAAGAGGAAGAUAGUAACAAAAAGAAAAGCAAUAGGCGGAGCCGCUCAAAGUCUCGAUCGUCUCACUCAAGGUCUUCAUCACGCUCAUCCUCCCCCUCAAGUUCAAGGUCCAGGUCCAGGUCCCGUUCAAGAAGCUCUUCCAGCUCGCAGUCCAGGUCUCACUCCGGUUCCAGAGAACAUUCCAGAUCCCGUGGUUCGAAAUCAAGAUCCAGCUCCAGGUCCCACAGGGGCUCUUCUUCCCCAAGAAAAAGAUCUUACUCGAGUUCUUCAUCAUCUCCUGAAAGAGACAGGAAGAGGAGUCGCUCUAGACCCUUCUUCACCAGCUGUUGCAAAAAAAGAUUUAACGAGAUCACGGUCACCCGAAGGCACCACAGGUCGCCCUCCGGAUCAACCCAUUCUGUUACCUUCAAGUUCAAAAAAGAAAUAAUGUAUUAAAAUUUACAUCUUUAAAAAACAUUGAGUACAGUGCAUGAAGCAUAUUUUUUAGGAAGUUGAUGUCUCAUUUGGUCAGAAGUACUACAUCUGCUAGUAGAGGUUGCACACGAACUCUUACUCUCUUGUAAUUGUGCCUCAGACUUCUCGAAAGUCGACUUUCUGAGUUGCCCAGAUCUUCUAGAUCCGACGUGUUAGCCUUGGUUUGUUUUUGUGCUUUCUGUAUUUAAAACUUGAGCUGUACUAGGCAAAUGCAAGAUUAUAAAUUUAGCUAAUAGGAGUUUACAAACGGUUCAGAUGAUUAUGAUUUGAUUUGGUUUAAUUGAGCUGUACUAGUUCAUUUCAUAAGGAAAUGAUACUGUAGACAAAUGUAAAUAAAAUCUGUGAGUCAAAAAAA